rnacentral:lncRNA from 1 species
AGCUGCCGGGAAGCACAUUUCUUAAGAGAGUUAACAGAUCAUCUCCGGAGAAGUGGGCAAGGCAGGCGUAGGCAGAACACAAACACACACAGACAUUCCCGAUUCCUGCCCCAGGAAGGAUGCGGCCAGCGUAGGUGACACGUCUGCAGUGUCUCCUUCGUGACGUCCAGCUAUAGGGAGCUGCUAUGGUCGUUCAUCAGCUGCCCCAGGAUGUCUGGAACCUUCCAUUUCACCAUCCAUUUGUAAACUGGCACAUCUUCCCUUGCCUUCCAUGCUGCAGCCUGAACUCCAUCCUUCAGCUUCCACACACACAUUAAAGCCAACCCCAGUUUCAUCCUCAAAA